rnacentral:tRNA from 1 species
GCCGAUGUAGCUCAGUGGUAGAGCAACUCCAUGGUAAGGAGUAGGUCGUGGGUUCAACUCCCACCAUCGGCUCCA